GUGAUUCAGGUCUGAUAGGCCUAGAAAUGAUUUUGCUGAUUAAUCGUACAAAUAGAAAAUACAAUAGUAAAGCAAUACAACAUGAAAUUAAAUAAACGGUUCGGUGUGGCAUGGGCAACACGCCCUAGACAAGCAUGACUGUGACACUAGGCAUACCUCUUCUGUACGUCUUUCUCGUGGCGGGAACAGAACAGGAAAGACUCGACCGACCCAUCCCUCCAGGUUCCUCGUUUCUUAGAUUGUGUUAGUAGUCUCUAAGAUUGGGUUACUUUCAGCUGGGUGCUUGUGGCACAGUCUUUUUCUCCUCUGACCUUUUCCCUUGAAGUAAAAUCAUAGAGCUUGAGCUUAGUUUACAUAUGUUUUUUCUUCUCAAUUUUCAGGUGCUGUCCUAUGUUCUCAGUGUAAAGGAACAGGAGUUAAUUCAGUGGAUCAUUUCAAUGGACAGUUCAAAGCUGGUAGCAUAUGCUGGCUCUGCAGUGGCAAAAAGGAUAUCCUGUGUGGGGGCUGUAAUGGAGCUGGUUUUAUGGGUGGGUUUAUGAGUACAGCUGACAGUUAGUUCUUGAUACAGAAAAACAUACUAAAUUCAGUAACUUGGUAACAUAAUUUCCAAGUAUGUAAAUGAAAUUUAUGAUAUUUUUCUUCUAAAUUUGAACCUCUUCCUAACA